rnacentral:lncRNA from 1 species
GUCCAAGCCAUCAUGAAGAUGUCAAACUCACAUGCCUGGAGCUACUUUGUAGCCAAUCAAUCAGCACCUGCUGAAAAUGGCACAGCUCCAGAGGACUCUGCGCAGGAGAGUGUGCUCUGAGUCCAAGCCAGGCCAAUGAUGUCAAACGCACAUCCCUGGCAUGGCAUUAUAGCCAAUCGAUCCGUUCGGGAUGCAAACAGCAAGGCUCCAGUACCACAGCCACCUUACCAAUUUCCUUAUGUAAAUAUUUGGGUCCAGGUUUAUGAAGAACAUCCAGCUGCAUGGCCAGGAAAGAAAGGUAUAACUGACAUGGCCAUUGUUGAGCCUCAACUCAAGUCCCACCGGAGAGAACAACUGUCUACCUCCUCGGAAGGGAAGAGGCACACCCCCACGAUUUCCUGUGUUCCCUUUCUAGGACACGGAGGCCAGCUUGCUGCUCGUGGAACAGAAAGAAGGAGAAUGAAUAAAAUCAUCUGUCAUAAUGAUCUGCAGAAAGACCCACUGCCUGAGGCUGAUUUCAUCCUGUUCAAGAAUCAGAGCAGCUUCAUGGAAGAUGGGGUACGCUACACUAGCUAUGGAGGGAUGACUCAAGAUGAAGUGGUCCAAGCAGGACCCCUCCCCACUGGAUGGUAAGCUCAAUGAGUAGAACUGUGGACACUCAUACAG